UACGGGGGGGGCAAGCGUUGUUCGGAAUUACUGGGCGUAAAGGGCUCGUAGGCGGCCAACUAAGUCAGACGUGAAAUCCCCCGGCUUAACCGGGGAACUGCAUCUGAUACUGGAUGGCUUGAGUUCGGGAGAGGGAUGCGGAAUUCCAGGUGUAGCGGUGAAAUGCGUAGAUAUCUGGAGGAACACCGGGUGGCGAAGGCGGCAUCCUGGACCGACACUGACGCUGAGGAGCGAAAGCCAGGGGAGCAAACGGG
rnacentral:rRNA from 1 species